GAUGAACGCUGACAGAAUGCUUAACACAUGCAAGUCUACUUGAAGCUAACUUCGGUUAGUGGAGGGUGGCGGACGGGUGAGUAACGCGUAAAGAACUUGCCUCACAGUUUGGGACAACAUUUGGAAACGAAUGCUAAUACCGGAUAUUAUGAUACUUUGCAUGGAAGAAUCAUGAAAGCUAUAUGCGCUGUGAGAGAGCUUUGCGUCCCAUUAGCUAGUUGGAGAGGUAACGGCUCACCAAGGCGAUGAUGGGUAGCCGGCCUGAGAGGGUGAACGGCCACAAGGGGACUGAGACACGGCCCUUACUCCUACGGGAGGCAGCAGUGGGGAAUAUUGGACAAUGGACCAAAAGUCUGAUCCAGCAAUUCUGUGUGCACGAUGAAGUUUUUCGGAAUGUAAAGUGCUUUCAGUUGGGAAGAAGCAAGUGACGGUACCAACAGAAGAAGCGACGGCUAAAUACGUGCCAGCAGCCGCGGUAAUACGUAUGUCGCAAGCGUUAUCCGGAUUUAUUGGGCGUAAAGCGCGUCUAGGUGGUUAUAUAAGUCUGAUGUGAAAAUGCGGGGCUCAACUCCGUAUUGCGUUGGAAACUGUAUGACUAGAGUACUGGAGAGGUAAGCGGAACUACAAGUGUAGAGGUGAAAUUCGUAGAUAUUUGUAGGAAUGCCGAUGGGGAAGCCAGCUUACUGGACAGAUACUGGCGCUAAAGCGCGAAAGCGUGGGUAGCAAACAGG
rnacentral:rRNA from 1 species